rnacentral:rRNA from 1 species
UACGUAGGGUGCGAGCGUUGUCCGGAAUUAUUGGGCGUAAAGGGCUCGUAGGCGGUUCGUCGCGUCGGGGGUGAAAUCCACUGGCUUAACUGGGGGCUUGCUUUCGAUACGGGCAGACUGGAGGUAUGCAGGGGAGAACGGAAUUCCUGGUGUAGCGGUGAAAUGCGCAGAUAUCAGGAGGAACACCGGUGGCGAAGGCGGUUCUCUGGGCAUGUCCUGACGCUGAGGAGCGAAAGUGUGGGGAGCGAACAGG